UUUAUUUUAUUUUUGCAGCUAACCCCACCAUUAGCAGAAUAGAAGUGACUUGAAGGUGCUAAAAGAAGCUCUUGACAUAAAUCUUUGUGGCAAGCGAUCGAUACACUUCUUGAGAUGCUUAGAAAGGACAGCAAAACACCUGACGUGUUCAUUUUGAUGGAAACCAUGAGAGAAUCUAAAAUUUCGGAAUUGGAUAUGCGGCUGGUUUUGAUACUUUCAUCAAAUACUAUUGCAAAAAGAAGACUCAUAGCAAUGAAGUUCGAUUGAGUGAUUGACUUUUACAAGAAGUGCAAUUUCUUUUGUACGGUUGCCCUUGCAUAUUUCAUAUUGUGUAUGACAUAAUUACUAAAAUGAAUGUACAUUGUAUGGAGCUAUUAUGUAAAUAUCUAAUCAGCAUGAUCAUACGUUUUCUUUA